GACGUCAAGUCAUCAUGGCCCUUACGAGUAGGGCUACACACGUGCUACAAUGGCGCAUACAAAGAGAAGCGGCCUCGCGAGAGCAAGCGGACCUCAUAAAGUGCGUCGUAGUCCGGAUUGGAGUCUGCAACUCGACUCCAUGAAGUCGGAAUCGCUAGUAAUCGCGGAUCAGAAUGCCGCGGUGAAUACGUUCCCGGGCCUUGUACACACCGCCCGUCACACCAUGGGAAUUUGUUGCACCAGAAGUAGGUAGUCUGACCGUAAGGAGGGCGCUUACCACGGCAGGG
rnacentral:rRNA from 1 species